rnacentral:rRNA from 1 species
UACGAAGGGGGCUAGCGGUGUUCGGAAUUACUGGGCGUAAAGCGAACGUAGGCGGGUCGUUAAGUCAGGGGUGAAAUCCCGGAGCUCAACUCCGGAACUGCCUUUGAUACUGGCGAUCUAGAGAUCGAGAGAGGUGAGUGGAAUUCCGAGUGUAGAGGUGAAAUUCGUAGAUAUUCGGAAGAACACCAGUGGCGAAGGCGGCUCACUGGCUCGAUACUGACGCUGAGGUGCGAAAGCGUGGGGAGCAAACAGG